AAAAAACAUACCCGCAGCAUGAAUUAAUUCAUGUCAGGACCAUUUUACCCUUCUCCUGCCUGCUGUUUUCCUCAAUUGUCCUUCCACCUGUUCGCUUCAUGUGGCACCGAGUGCCUAUAAUCCACUAUCCUACUGAGAGAGAGAUGGAGGUUUUGGCUCUGAACCCUUGCCGGUGCGGGCAGAAAGAGAGACAUAGAGGAAAGAGUUCUGGAUACCCGAUUUCAUUGAGCUUCAUUGAAUCAUGAUUUGGUGUAGUUGGGCUUGCAUCUUCAAGCUUCUUCAGAUACAAUCUGUGCUUCUGCUGACACACAGCAAAAGAGAGGAGACGAGAGGAGGAAAAAGGGGACGGGAAAAGUAUGCAAUUGUUUUUUCCCAGAAUCGCAAACAUUUGUGGGUAUUUGUAUAUUUUUUUCCUCGAGUAUUUGGAUUUGCUGUGUUUGCAUGGUUUUUAGGAUCAUUGAUUGUGUGAUAUUAAUGUCUGUGUUCAAGGUG